rnacentral:rRNA from 1 species
AAAACGACUCUCGGCAACGGAUAUCUCGGCUCUCGCAUCGAUGAAAAACGUAGCGAAAUGUGAUACUUGGUGUGAAUUGCGAAUCCCGUGAACCAUCAAGUCUUUGAACGCAAAGUGCCCCUGAACCCCUUAGGCCCAGGCCACGCCUCCCCGGGCCUCCCCC